GUGGGGAAUAUUGGACAAUGGGCGCAAGCCUGAUCCAGCAAUGCCGCGUGGGUGAAGAAGGUCUUCGGAUCGUAAAGCCCUUUCGACAGGGACGAUGAUGACGGUACCUGUAGAAGAAGCCCCGGCUAACUUCGUGCCAGCAGCCGCGGUAAUACGAAGGGGGCUAGCGUUACUCGGAAUUACUGGGCGUAAAGGGCGCGUAGGCGGCUCUGUUAGUCAGGCGUGAAAUUCCUGGGCUUAACCUGGGGACUGCGCUUGAUACUGCAGGGCUUGAGGCCGAGAGAGGGUGGUGGAAUUCCCAGUGUAGAGGUGAAAUUCGUAGAUAUUGGGAAGAACACCGGUGGCGAAGGCGACCACCUGGCUCGGUUCUGACGCUGAGGCGCGACAGCGUGGGGAUCAAACAGGAUUAGAUACCCGGGUAGUCC
rnacentral:rRNA from 1 species